rnacentral:rRNA from 1 species
UACGGAGGGAGCUAGCGUUGUUCGGAUAUACUGGGCGUAAAGCGCACGUAGGCGGCGCAGCAAGUCAGGGGUGAAAUCCCGGGGCUCAACCUCGGAACUGCCUUUGAUACUGCAAAUCUCGAGUCCGGAAGAGGUGAGUGGAAUUCCUAGUGUAGAGGUGAAAUUCGUAGAUAUUUAGGAAGAACACCAGUGGCGAAGGCGGCUCACUGGUCCGGUACUGACGCUGAGGCACGAAAGCGUGGGGAGCAAACAGGG